rnacentral:rRNA from 1 species
UACGGAGGGGGCGAGCGUUAUUCGGAAUUAUUGGGCGUAAAGGGCGCGUAGGCGGCUGUACAAGUCAAAGGUGAAAUCCCUCGGCUCAACUGAGGAACUGCCUUUGAAACUGUACGGCUUGAGGCCGGGAGGGGGUAGCGGAAUUCCCAGUGUAGCGGUGAAAUGCGUAGAUACUGGGAGGAACACCAGUGGCGAAGGCGGUUACCUGGACCGGUUCUGACGCUGAGGCGCGAAAGCGUGGGUAGCAAACAGG